UACAGAGAUUGUGAGCCGAUGCAUGUGUUGCUUUAGGCCACUGAGUCUGGGCUUAUGGAUUAUUCUACAGUAGAAAAUAUCAAUUCAUCACUUUUAUGUCUUUCUUUUUUUUGUUUGUUUGUUUGUUUUUCUUCCAGUACCAAGAAUCGAACUCAUGACCUUGCACUUGCCAGGUAGGCGCUUUGCUGCUGAGCUAAAUCCCUAGCCCUACUUUUAUGUCUUUCUAUACUGUCAGCCUCCUGAAUCACUGAAUUCGCAAUACUUGGACUCAACUCACCACAAAUAGAAAUUUUUCACUGCAUCCAUACUGAAUACGUACAGACUUUUUCUUCUCAUUAUUCCCUAAUGGUACAGCUGACAACGAGUGACAUAGCACUGACAUCACCUUAGGUUUGUGACUUCAUCUGGCGGCAACUGGAUGUGUACAGGAGCGUGUGCAUAGGUUCUGUACAAGUACAGCGCCACUUUACAUAACAGGGUCUUCAGAACCCAUGGAUUUUGGUAUCCUUAAGGGAACCUAGAAUCCAUUCCCAGCUGGUACUGGGGACCACUGCAUUUGUCUUUCUCCUACUUCACUUACUCUGAGUCUUGCCUCUGGUGGACGUGAAAUAAAAAGUAAGCCAAUCACAUGAGACUAAUUUGAUUAGUCUAAAAGGGAAGAGUCCUCUGUAUGUUUGAAGGGGGAGGUAAAAUUUUACAAUAAAAUUUGGGCAUGUGAGGCACUGUGUCUUAAAAACAAAGCAUCUAGGUGGCUGCCUAAUCUUACAAGGAACUCCUGCGGGGGGCUUGACGCCUCCGCAUCCCCCGGCACCUGGCUCCUCGGCCAGGAACGCAGGGAUGGGACUCCAGGAGGCAGCAGCACCCAGAACCCAAUCAGCAAGAUAAAUGAUGUUCUCUAAUUACCAUGAAACCUACACAAUACAGGAUAUGCUGCCUGAACCAUCGCGGAGUGUGCGGAAACGGCCAUUCCAGGAAUCUGAGGGAACAAACUGAACUGGGCCUUCGUUCUGAGGUGGUGGGGAAGGAGCAGUACCACACCCAUAGCACCGAGGACCCCAGCCCCACAAGGGCCUGUGCCUCAGAGGUGGGAACCAGGCCCUUAGCCACUGCAAUCCAGCCUCCUUCCCAGUGUGCGUGGGAAAGCAGAAAUGCCAGGGAAAAGCUCCUGCUCAGGGCCAGGCAAGAAGAAGCAGGCAAUGCCUGGCUUUGUCAUCCGAUGUAACAAAAAGCCUUAGUGUGUACCUGGUAACACACUAAGGUACAACAGUGUGGGAACGUGACAACAGUGUGGGUUUGUGUGGGAGCUCCCUAAAAAGCCAGGUCAUUAGGACUCCAGUUACCCCCUAAACGGCCACCGCGUCUCCAGGUCUAAGCAGUGACUCCAGAGGCCGAGGGGGGUCACUUGUGUUCAUUGCUUGCCAACACCAGCAAUCUGUUCGUCGUUGUCCAUCCAGAUAGUAAACGUAAUCAUCCAUCAACCCUUGCUGCUCAUGUGCAAACCCUAAGCCAGCACCCAUCCGAGGAGCAGGGCUGGGCUCGGGCCACAGAAUGAGCCCAGCCUAAGAUGGGGGGACGUUCUGUGGUCAAGCCACCAGAUCUGUAGUCAUAUUUCCUUGUCAGAGUUAAAAAUAAAGCCCUGUUCCCUCA
rnacentral:lncRNA from 1 species